UAACGUUCGGAAACGGACGCUAAUACCGCAUACGUCCUACGGGAGAAAGCAGGGGACCUUCGGGCCUUGCGCUAUCAGAUGAGCCUAGGUCGGAUUAGCUAGUUGGUGAGGUAAUGGCUCACCAAGGCGACGAUCCGUAACUGGUCUGAGAGGAUGAUCAGUCACACUGGAACUGAGACACGGUCCAGACUCCUACGGGAGGCAGCAGUGGGGAAUAUUGGACAAUGGGCGAAAGCCUGAUCCAGCCAUGCCGCGUGUGUGAAGAAGGUCUUCGGAUUGUAAAGCACUUUAAGUUGGGAGGAAGGGCAGUAAAUUAAUACUUUGCUGUUUUGACGUUACCGACAGAAUAAGCACCGGCUAACUCUGUGCCAGCAGCCGCGGUAAUACAGAGGGUGCAAGCGUUAAUCGGAAUUACUGGGCGUAAAGCGCGCGUAGGUGGUUUGUUAAGUUGGAUGUGAAAUCCCCGGGCUCAACCUGGGAACUGCAUUCAAAACUGACUGACUAGAGUAUGGUAGAGGGUGGUGGAAUUUCCUGUGUAGCGGUGAAAUGCGUAGAUAUAGGAAGGAAC
rnacentral:rRNA from 7 species